rnacentral:rRNA from 1 species
AAUAUCAAAGGUGAGCCAGUACAGGAUGGACCCGCGUCUGAUUAGCUAGUUGGUAAGGUAACGGCUUACCAAGGCGACGAUCAGUAGCCGACCUGAGAGGGUGAUAGGCCACAUUGGAACUGAGACACGGUCCAAACUCCUACGGGAGGCAGCAGUGGGGAAUAUUGCACAAUGGGCGAAAGCCUGAUGCAGCAACGCCGCGUGAGUGAUGAAGGCCUUCGGGUCGUAAAACU